rnacentral:tRNA from 1 species
CUUCAUGGUGGUGCAGGCCGCACUUGCGGUGCUGCUGUCGCAGCUGAGCGCCAGUUCCGAUGUGGCGGUGGGGA